UACGUAGGGGGCAAGCGUUGUCCGGAUUUAUUGGGCGUAAAGAGCGUGUAGGCGGCCAUACAGGUCAGCUGUGAAAACUCGAGGCUCAACCUCGAGACGUCGGUUGAAACCGUAUGGCUAGAGUCCGGAAGAGGAGAGUGGAAUUCCCGGUGUAGCGGUGAAAUGCGUAGAGAUCGGGAGGAACACCAGUGGCGAAGGCGGCUACCUGGACCAGCAUUGACACUCAAGCACGAAAGCGUGGGGAGCAAACAGG
rnacentral:rRNA from 1 species